GACGAACGCUGGCGGCGUGCUUAACACAUGCAAGUCGAACGGAGUGGCGAACGGGUGAGUAACACGUGGGUGAUCUGCCUUGCACUUCGGGAUAAGCUUGGGAAACUGGGUCUAAUACCGGAUAGUGCAAGAUGAGCUCGCGGCCUAUCAGCUUGUUGGUGGGGUAAUGGCCUACCAAGGCGUCGACGGGUAGCCGGCCUGGGAGGGUGGACGGCGUCAAUGUGACUGAGAUACGUACCAGAUGCGUACGGGGGGCAGCAGUGGGGAAUAUUGCACAGUGGGCGGAAGCCUGAUGCAGCGGCGCGGCGUGGGGGAUGAAGGCCUUCUGGUUGUAAACUCCUUUCGACAGGGACGCGGUACCUGUAUAAGAAGCACCGGCUAACUACGUGCCAGCCGCCGCGGUAAUAC
rnacentral:rRNA from 1 species